rnacentral:rRNA from 1 species
CUACGUGCCAGCAGCCGCGGUAAUACGGAGGAUGCAAGCGUUAUCCGGAUUUAUUGGGUUUAAAGGGUGCGUAGGCGGUAUUACAAGUCAGGGGUGAAAUCUUGGUGCUUAACAUUAAAAUUGCCUUUGAAACUGUGGUACUUGAGUGUAAAAGAGGUAGGCGGAAUGUGUUGUGUAGCGGUGAAAUGCAUAGAUAUAACACAGAACCCCGAUUGCGAAGGCAGCUUACUAUCAUACAACUGACGCUGAUGCACGAAAGCUAGGGGAGCAAACAGGAUUAGAUACCCUGGUAGUCCUAGCUGUAAACGAUGAUUACUGGGUGUGGGCAUGAAGAGUGUCCGUGCCGAAGCUAAUGCGAUAAGUAAUCCGCCUGGGGAGUACGGCCGCAAGGCUGAAACUCAAAGGAAUUGACGGGGACCCGCACAAGCGGUGGAGCAUGUGGUUUAAUUCGACGCAACGCGAGGAACCUUACCCGGGCUUGAAUUGCAGACGCAGGAUACAGAGAUGU